CUUCCUCAGACACUAAAUCGAUGGGAAACUGAAAUACACAAAUUUGUUCCUGGUAACACUUGGCGCAUUCGGUAAAUCACAAGCCUGGAUAUGAACUAAGGAAUGCCAAGCUCCAAAUCUACCACUCUGAAAUUGGCACUUGUGUUUUAAAGGAGUCUCUUUUCUCAUGCCUGAUAUAUUGGAUCACACUCCAUCACCCUAAGAGGUAAAAAACAGACAUCAGAAGAGAAGAACACAGUUACCACUAUGACAGAGUUGAGUCCCACAGCAGGGAAGAACUCUCAAGAUAUACAAGGGGAUGAGAAGGUCAGCCCUAGGAAAGCUCCUAGCAUUUGUUCCACUCGCUAUGGAAUAGCCUUCAUGGUACACCUCUGCAACUUCAUAAUAAUGGCACAGAAUAUUAUCAUGAAUAUCACCAUGGUAGCCAUGGUCAACAGCACAAACCAUCAGCCCUCAUUUAAUGACUCCACUGAGGGGCUGCCUGUCGAUUCCUUUGGUGACCCAAAUAAUUCCCCAAAGAGUCUUCCUGCAGGGGCCCCUGUGUAUGAUUGGAACCCUCAAAUCCAGGGCAUCAUCUUUAGUGCUAUCAACUAUGGCAUGAUUCUGACACUGGCUCCCAGUGGAUACCUGGCUGGAAGAGUAGGAACAAAACGAGUGGUUGGUGCUGCUCUGCUUGGAUCCUCCCUUCUUGUUCUUUUCACCCCUCUGGCAGCUGAAUUUGGACUAGUUUUCCUCAUUGCAACUCGAAUACUUCAGGGCAUGAGCCUGGGGUUAGUAUAUGGGGGUCAGUUUGCAAUCUGGGAAAGAUGGAGUCCUCCACAUGAACGAAGUCGACUCUGUGGUGUUGCUGUAUCAGGAUUGCUGCUGGGAACCUCCAUUGCCAUCCUGCUGGGUGGCAUCAUCAGUCAAACCCUCGGGUGGCCUUUUGUCUUCUAUAUAUUUGGAGGUUUUGGCUGUGUCUGCUUUCCUCUCUGGUGUGUUUUGGUUUAUGAUGACCCCGUCGCUCAUCCAUGGAUAAACAUUACAGAGAAAGAAUAUAUCAUAUCCUCCUUGGCCCAACAGGUCAGCUCUACUAAGCAGCCUCUUCCCAUCAAAGCUAUGGUCAGAUCUGUACCCCUCUGGUCCAUGUGUGUUUGCUGUUUCAGCCAUCAGUGGUUAAUGAAUGUAAUAACUAUAUAUGCACCAACUUACAUUAGCUCUGUGUUCAACAUUGAUAUUAGAAAUAGUGGUUUCCUGUCUGCCCUUCCUUUCAUUAUUGCCUGGGUCGUUUGCUUCCUGGGAAGUUACCUGGCAGAUUUCCUUCUGACCAAGAAUUUUAGGCUUGUUACAGUGAGGAAAAUUGCCACAGUUCUAGGAAAUCUCCCCUCCUCAACAUUCCUUUUGGUUCUGCCAUUCGUUGCCUCCAACUAUAUCAUAGCAGUGAGCCUUCUGACGCUCUCCUGUGGACUAGGCCUGUUAUGUCAGCCAGGGGUCUAUGUCAAUGCCUUAGAUAUUGCUCCAAGGCAUUCUAGUUUUCUCAUGGGAAUGUCAAGGGCGUUUGCACAGCUAUCUGCUGUCCUGGCACCCACUGUCAGUGGAUUUCUUCUCAGUCAGGACCCUGAAUUUGGGUGGAGGAAUGUCUUUUCCUUGUCAUUCGUCAUUAACACAUUAGGACUGAUCUUCUAUCUUAUCUAUGGAAAAGCAGAUGUCCAAGACUGGGCUAAAGAAAGAAAACUUACUCAUUUAUGAAGGCCCCAGGAGGCUGACCUGUGUGGUUUGCACCCCACACUUUCUCUACUGGCUUCUGCUGGAUUUUCAGUGGAGGCAGGAGAGUGAGGAUAGGAGUAUUUAUCUCUACUGUUCCUCCCCAUGGAGACUGCAGCGUUAUUCAUAAUAGCCAGAAUAUGGAAACAGCCCAAUUGUCCAUCAAUGACGAAUGGAUAAAGAAGAUGUUUAUUUAAGCCAUGAAAAUGAAAGACAUUCUGCACAACAGGAAUGGAUUUUGAAGGCAUUAUGCUAAGUAAAAUAAGUCAGAUAAAGACGAAUAUUUUGAUAUCACUUAUCAGGGAAAUCUAAAAAAGCCUAAUUCAUAGAAACAAGAUUACAAUGGUAGAGAUUAGAAUGGGAGUUACCAGUGGCUGGGGGAUAGGGGAAAAAGGGAGACAUUGGUCAAAGAGUACAAACUUCCAGUUAUAAGAAGAGCAAGUUCUCGGAAUCUCAUGUACAGCAUAGUGAUUAUAGUGAAUAAUAUAUUUUACACUUGACUGUUGCUAAAUGUAAAUCUUAAACAUUCUCAACACAAAAAAGAAAUGGUAAUAAUGUUAAUAAUGUGACAUGAUGGAGGUGUUAGCUAACACUAUGGUGGUAACCCUUUUGCACAUAUAAGUGUUUCAAGUCAACAUGAUGUAAACUUAUACAAUGUCACAUGUGAAUUAUAUCCCAAUAAAGUUGGGGGGGAAAAGUAAGGGCAUCCUUUUUUUUUUUUUUUCCCUCAGCAAAAUGCCUCCUGACUAUACUUGUUGAACUAAAUUAAGAAGUUCCAAAGUAGAUACAUUUUUGUUUGGUGAACCCUCUUUCUUCCCUAUGAUAUUAAUGUGACAAAAGAAAAAAAAAUUUACUAAUGAAACCUGUGAGUUUUUCCUGGUGGGCCAUAUAACCUAAAGGCUCCAUAUGCUUGUAUCAGAAGAAAGAUCUUGAUUAUUAAAUAUAUUAUUAAAAUGCCUACAUUGAAAAUGAAAGAUGACUUAAAAUUGAACCAGUUGAUUAACAUGGUCCUAACUUUAGGUGUAUUAUAUUUUUUAAGUUAUGUACUAUACAAUGAGAGCUCCUAAAGACAGAA